GACGAACGCUGGCGGCGUGCCUAAUACAUGCAAGUAGAACGCUGAAGGAGGAGCUUGCUUCUCUGGAUGAGUUGCGAACGGGUGAGUAACGCGUAGGUAACCUGCCUGGUAGCGGGGGAUAACUAUUGGAAACGAUAGCUAAUACCGCAUAAUAUUGACUAUUGCAUGAUAGUCAGUUGAAAGGUGCAACUGCACCACUACCAGAUGGACCUGCGUUGUAUUAGCUAGUUGGUGGGGUAACGGCUCACCAAGGCGACGAUACAUAGCCGACCUGAGAGGGUGAUCGGCCACACUGGGACGGAGACACGGCCCAGACUCCUACGGGAGGCAGCAGUAGGGAAUCUUCGGCAAUGGACGGAAGUCUGACCGAGCAACGCCGCGUGAGUGAAGAAGGGUUUCGGAUCGUAAAGCUCUGUUGUAAGAGAAGAACGAGUGUGAGAGUGGAAAGCUCACACUGUGACGGUAUCUUACCAGAAAGGGACGGCUAACUACGUG
rnacentral:rRNA from 1 species